CCCGCUCAGAAACUUAAGGAAUUGACGGGGCCCGCACAAGCGGUGGAGCAUGUGGUUUAAUUCGAUGAUACGCGAGGAACCUUACCUGGGCUCAAAUGUAUGUUGACGUAUUCUGAAAGGGAUACUUCUUCGGACAAUAUACAAGGUGCUGCAUGGUUGUCGUCAGCUCGUGCCGUGAGGUGUCGGGUUAAGUCCCAUAACGAGCGCAACCCCUAUCAUUAGUUGCCAUCAGGUCAAGCUGGGGACUCUAAUGAAACUGCCUACGCAAGUAGUGAGGAAGGUGGGGAUGACGUCAAAUCAGCACGGCCCUUACGUCCAGGGCUACACACGUGCUACAAUGGCCGGUACAAAGGGCAGCUACCUGGUGACAGGAUGCUAAUCUCAAAAGCCGGUCUCAGUUCGGAUCGGAGUCUGCAACCCGACUCCGUGAGGCUGGAAUCGCUAGUAAUCGCGCAUCAGCCAUGGCGCGGUGAAUACGUUCCCGGGCCUU
rnacentral:rRNA from 1 species